rnacentral:rRNA from 1 species
GCCUAAAGCGUCCGUAGCCGGCUAUGUUAGUUUUCGGUUAAAUCCAUGUGCUCAACACAUGGGCUGUCGAAAAUACUGCAUAGCUAGGGAGUGGGAGAGGUAGACGGUACUCUGUAGGAAGGGGUAAAAUCCUUUGAUCUAUAGAAGACCACCAGUGGCGAAGGCGGUCUACCAGAACAUGUCCGACGGUGAGGGAUGAAAGCUGGGGGAGCAAACCGGAUUAGAUACCCGGGUAGUCCCAGCUGUAAACUAUGCAAACUCAGUGAUGCAUUGGCUUGUGGCCAGUGCAGUGCCGCAGAGAAGUCGUUAAGUUUGCCGCCUGGGAAGUACGUACGCAAGUAUGAAACUUAAAGGAAUUGGCGGGGGAGCACCACAAGGGGUGAAGCCUGCGGUUCAAUUGGAGUCAACGCCAGAAAUCUUACCCGGAGAGACAGCAGAAUGAAGGUCAAGCUGAAGACUUUACCAGACAAGCUGAGAAGUGGUGCAUGGCCGUCGCCAGCUCGUGCCGUGAGGUGUCCUGUUAAGUCAGGUAACGAGCGAGAUCCCUGCCUCUAGUUGCCACCAUUACUCUCAGGAGUAGUGGGGCGAAUUAGCGGGACUGUCGCAGUUAAUGCGGAGGAAGGAGGGGGCCACGGCAGGUCAGUAUGCCCCGAA